rnacentral:rRNA from 1 species
UACGGAGGGUGCGAGCGUUGUCCGGAAUCAUUGGGCGUAAAGGGCGCGUAGGUGGCCCGGUCAGUUCGUGGUGAAAGCGCGGGGCUCAACCCUGCGUCGGCCAUGAAUACUGCCGCGGCUGGAGCACUGUAGAGGCAGGCGGAAUUCCGGGUGUAGCGGUGGAAUGCGUAGAGAUCCGGAAGAACACCGGCGGCGAAGGCGGCCUGCUGGGCAGUUGCUGACACUGAGGCGCGACAGCGUGGGGAGCAAACAGG